CUUACCAGGUGAGUAAAGAAUGUCCCUUCCUGGCAGGUGCAAGAACCUCAGGAUGUUUGGGGACCUCAUGAAGAGGAAUUUCCCCAAAUCUACAGGGUCAAGACUCCUUCCCUGCCAUAACUUCCAGCCGACAGAUGAUCUUUCUACUCAAGGGAGGUUCACAUAUGUUGUCCACCUUGGAAUGGCUGCCUCUGCCUUUGGUAACUCUUAGAGAUAGAGAUAGGACACAUAUUUUCCAACUGACCAGUGUUGACCCAUAGGUAGGGACAUCUCUACACCCUUAUUCAAUAGGAAGAAGCUACAGAAGAUGAGACUGUAAUAGGUCAACUUAUAAGAUAUCAGAAAGCUUAUUGUAUAUAAGUUUGGCUUAAAUUCACCUUUCAUGAAUAGUCGAGAUAAAAGGCUUAUGUAGUUCCCUAUUAGGGUGAUCGGAAAUUACUAACCGCCCUAUCUCACUUCUGUGACCUUGCCAGCUUGCUAAAUAGAUAACUUAGGAUGGAAACCGCUUCCCCUCCCCCUCUACCAAGAUCUGGCCUAGGCAAGACCAACAUGUAAAACGUCACGUACUCACCUACGGCAUCUCAGGUGUCCAACUAUGAUUGGUCAUUUUAAACCCUCUUAGGACAAAGACUUUUAAAUUGAUAGGUUCCCUCCAAAACUAACGUCUGUGUGCCACAAUAUAAUUGGCUACCAUGAAAUGCUGUAAAUUGUAAUUGGUUAACCAAAUAAUGACGUAUUCUGACUUGCUAAAAUCCAUAUAAGCUCACGGCUGCCUUUGUUCGGGGCCAUUCUCUGCACUUUUCUCCUUAAGAUCAGGAGAUCAGGUUUGGCCCGGCCGUGAAUAAAAUCUUGCCUCGCUUCUA